UACGAAGGGUGCAAACGUUGCUCGGAAUCAUUGGGCGUAAAGCGCACGUAGGCGGCCUCGAAAGUCGGAUGUGAAAUCCCUCGGCUCAACCAAGGAAGUGCAUCCGAAACUGUGAGGCUUGAGUACCAAAGAGGAUCGCGGAAUUCCCGGUGUAGAGGUGAAAUUCGUAGAUAUCAGGAGGAACACCGGUGGCGAAGGCGGAUCUCUGGGCCACUACUGACGCUGAGGAGCGAAAGCGUGGGGAGCGAACAGG
rnacentral:rRNA from 1 species